rnacentral:rRNA from 1 species
AUUGAACGCUGGCGGCAUGCCUUACACAUGCAAGUCGAACGGCAGCGGACCUUCGGGUGCCGGCGAGUGGCGAACGGGUGAGUAAUGCAUCGGAACGUACCUUUCAGUGGGGGAUAACGUAGCGAAAGUUACGCUAAUACCGCAUAUUCUGUGAGCAGGAAAGCAGGGGAUCGCAAGACCUUGCGCUGACUGAGCGGCCGAUGUCAGAUUAGCUAGUUGGUGAGGUAAAGGCUCACCAAGGCGACGAUCUGUAGCGGGUCUGAGAGGAUGAUCCGCCACACUGGGACUGAGACACGGCCCAGACUCCUACGGGAGGCAGCAGUGGGGAAUUUUGGACAAUGGGGGCAACCCUGAUCCAGCCAUGCCGCGUGAGUGAAGAAGGCCUUCGGGUUGUAAAGCUCUUUCGGCCGGGAAGAAAUCGUAUCAGCUAAUACCUGGUGCGGAUGACGGUACCGGCAUAAGAAGCACCGGCUAACUACGUGCCAGCCGCCGCAGUAAUAC